AAUGUCAGAUUUCUCUUCUCUGUUUCCAUCUUUUAAUUAGUUUUGUCUCUUCCUCUUUUCUUCUCUCAGCUGAGCUCGACCAAACGCAGUAAAAGCUGCCAGAUGACGAGGAAACUGGAGUUCCUGUGUGUAAAGCUACAAACCGCAGCGAAGACGAGUUCGGUGGAUGCUGGAGAGAAGCGGCUGGUGACCUGACCUGAUCUGACACGGAGACCAGCAGACCAGCCUGUCCAGGUCUUCCGUCUCCGGCUGCUCCACGUCUCUGUCCUUCGGCCUUUUAUGAGACGAGGGCUUCGCGUCCCCAUCUGGUGAAGGAAUGAUGAAGAAGAGGAAGAGAGGAGCAGCAGAGAAAGGACAGACUCAGAGAUGUCCGCUUUGGGAGGAUGUAAAUGACUCCGAUCGCAUCGUACUCGAGGAUGAAAGAUGGACGUAAUCAAUAAAGAUGAUAAGUCAG